rnacentral:rRNA from 2 species
UACAGAGGUCUCAAGCGUUGUUCGGAAUCACUGGGCGUAAAGGGUGCGUAGGCUGCAUGGUAAGUCAGGUGUGAAAGCCCGGAGCUCAACUCCGGAACUGCACCCGAUACUGCCGUGCUUGAGGACUGGAGAGGAGUCUGGAAUUCACAGUGGAGCAGUGAAAUGCGUAGAUAUUGUGAGGAACACUAGUGGCGAAGGCGAGACUCUGGACAGUUCCUGACGCUGAGGCACGAAGGCCAGGGGAGCAAACGGG